GCUUCCUAGGGACGCAGCAGUGGGGAAUAUUGGGCAAUGGGCGCAAGCCUGACCCAGCAACGCCGCGUGAAGGAAGAAGGCCCUCGGGUUGUAAACUUCUUUUAACAGGGACGAAGAAAGUGACGGUACCUGUUGAAUAAGCCACGGCUAACUACGUGCCAGCAGCCGCGGUAAUAUGUAGGUGGCAAGCGUUAUCCGGAUUUACUGGGUGUAAAGGGCGUGUAGGCGGGAGAGCAAGUCAGACGUGAAAUUCCAGGGCUCAACCCUGGAACUGCGUUUGAAACUGUUCUUCUU
rnacentral:rRNA from 1 species